CCUACGGGUGGCAGCAGUGAGGAAUAUUGGUCACUGGCCGUAAGGCUGAACCAGCCAAGUCGCGUGAAGGAAGAAGGAUUUAUGGUUUGUCAACUUCUUUUAUAGGGGAAUCAAGGUAUCCACGUGUGGAUAUUUGCAUGUACCCUAUGAAUAAGCAUCGGCUAACUCCGUGCCAGCAGCCGCGGUAAUACGAAGGCUGCGAGCGUGAUCCGGAUUUAUUGUGUUUAAAGGGUGCGUAGGUUUUUUUUUAAUUCAGCGGGGAACGUUUGUGGCUCAACCAUAAAAUUGCCGUUGAAACUGGAAGACUAGAGUGUGUUUGAGGUAGGCGGAAUUCGUGGUGUAGCGGUGAAAUGCAUAGAUAUCACGCAGAACACCGAUUGCGAAGGCAGCUUACUAAGCCAUAACUGACACUGAAGCACGAAAGCGUGGGGAUCAAACAGGAUUAGAUACCCCUGUAGUC
rnacentral:rRNA from 1 species